AUUGAACGCUGGCGGCAGGCUUAACACAUGCAAGUCGAGCGAGCGGCGGACGGGUGAGUAAUGUCUGGGAAACGGCCUGAGGGAGGGGGAUAACUACUGGAAACGGUAGCUAAUACCGCAUACCAGCAGAUGUGCCAGGGUGGGAUGAGCUAGUAGGUGGGGUAAUGCCUCACCUAGGCGACGAACCCUAGCUGGUCUGCGCGGAUGACCAGCCACACUGGACCUGAGCCACGGUCCAGCCUCCUACGGGAGGCAGCAGUGGUGAAUAUUGCACAAUGGGCGCAAGCCUGAUGCAGCCAUGCCGCGUGUGUGAAGAAGGCCUUCGGGUUGUAAAGCACUUUCAGCGAGGAGGCGUUACUCGCAGAAGAAGCACCGGCUAACUCCGUGCCAGCAGCCGCGGUAAUUC
rnacentral:rRNA from 1 species